GGUCAACGCUGGCGGCGUGCCUAAUACAUGCAAGUCGAGCGAAUGGAUUAAGAGCUUGCUCUUAUGAAGUUAGCGGCGGACGGGUGAGUAACACGUGGGUAACCUGCCCAUAAGACUGGGAUAACUCCGGGAAACCGGGGCUAAUACCGGAUAACAUUUUGAACCGCAUGGUUCGAAAUUGAAAGGCGGCUUCGGCUGUCACUUAUGGAUGGACCCGCGUCGCAUUAGCUAGUUGGUGAGGUAACGGCUCACCAAGGCAACGAUGCGUAGCCGACCUGAGAGGGUGAUCGGCCACACUGGGACUGAGACACGGCCCAGACUCCUACGGGAGGCAGCAGUAGGGAAUCUUCCGCAAUGGACGAAAGUCUGACGGAGCAACGCCGCGUGAGUGAUGAAGGCUUUCGGGUCGUAAAACUCUGUUGUUAGGGAAGAACAAGUGCUAGUUGAAUAAGCUGGCACCUUGACGGUACCUAACCAGAAAGCCACGGCUAACUACGUGCCAGCCGCCGCUGUAA
rnacentral:rRNA from 1 species